GGGGACGACAGGUUUCGACAGGGAACGGUGGACCCGGAUUGCAAGCCGAGGCGCCAUACCUCGUUAAUCAGUGGCACCAAUGUAACUGGCGAAAAAGAACUCGCCCUCGCGGCCUAACAAGGCCUCGACGUUGACCCUCAUCUCACCCCGAUGGGUGAGGAGUCAGCGACGCAAUGUCGGGGUGCUGCAUCGUUACGCCGGUAGCGACGCCUAAGACAACCGGCGGUGCCGGACGCGAGCCUGCUGGGCGGCGCGCGGCCAGGCGAGAUAAAUGCCCGGCUAAGCUUGUAGUAAAUCCCUGACGCUCUUCCUCUGGACGGGGAGUUCAAUUCUCCCCCGUCUCCACCA
rnacentral:tmRNA from 1 species